CAGCAGCCGCGGUAAUACGUAGGGUGCAAGCGUUGUCCGGAAUUAUUGGGCGUAAAGAGCUCGUAGGCGGUCUGUCGCGUCGGCUGUGAAAACCCGGAGCUCAACUCCGGGCCUGCAGUCGAUACGGGCAGACUGGAGUUCGGCAGGGGAGACUGGAAUUCCUGGUGUAGCGGUGAAAUGCGCAGAUAUCAGGAGGAACACCGGUGGCGAAGGCGGGUCUCUGGGCCGAUACUGACGCUGAGGAGCGAAAGCGUGGGGAGCGAACAGGAUUAGAUACCCUGGUAGUCCACGCCGUAAACGG
rnacentral:rRNA from 1 species